ACAAAAAAACACUAGAUACACAUCUAAACACACCCAAGACAGCUUCAGGCACACUCAAAACACCCCAAAAUUUACCCAAAACACCGCAUAACUUACCCAGACACCCCCAGGACCCCCAAACACCCCACCAUGCCUCUCUCAAUCACCAGUCACCACCACCUCAGCCUCACCAUCAACAUGUACAGCAAGGAAGGCGCAGGGGACUCGGGCCCUGACAGACACCACACUGGGGACUACCUGGCACCCUUAGCUUCUGUAGAUCUGUCCCGUGUCAACACCCCUGGCGGAUCACCCUCCCCAUGACCCGGCCAUCACCCCGCCCUUGAGGACCCCAAUUGGGAGCCCCCGGAGGACCAAGGAAUGUUGCUGAGGUCACACCUGAUUCCGGAAUCUUGACACCCCUUCAAGAUUCCGAGCCGUUUAACGAAGAGCCGCCUGACAGGUACUGCCUUGUGUUCCUGACCUUAGUUGUGCACAGAGUCUGAACACUGAUGCCUCGGAAUAUGUUCAUCACUGCCAAGAACUUGCCAUUGGGAUCUUCCAGAACACAGUGUAUGGGACGGCUGCCCAUCUCCCAUUCAACUACACGGUGGCGGUGGUGCUGGACUCGACACACUUCAGUCACAAGAUGAAUGCAGUCAGCUACAGCAUGACAUAGACAAGCUAUAGACAGUUGAGAGAGGAAGAAGUCAGUGGCACCCUCACCUCAGACAAGACAAAGCUAACAAUUGAUAAUGAAAGCGGUGCCUGAGAAGCGAUGCCUUCACCCACGCAGUUUUCACCACGAUGGAGGAGUGCCCACACUUCCAGGACCUUACUGUUAAGAGGUUCCUGAAGACCCUACUUGAGCACAACCGCCGAGACAUUCUCUCCAAGCUGGAGAAGUUUGUGCGCCUGAAGCCAGGGAGUGAUGCUGCUAAGACCUUCACUGUCUAUCCAGAGGGAUCCGCAGGUGCUGGUGGUGGAAUCUUGCUUAGACAGUGUGGAUGGCAAGCAGUCAGGGUUCCAGUCAAAGGUGGUGGUGAUCCAUGCCCAGGACACCAGGGAGGAUGCACUGCAGCUUGCAUCUCAGCUGAGGAAUCCCAUGGAGGGCAACAGAUUGUAUGUGUUGCUUCUGCAAGAGUCUAAGAAGAACACACAAGUUAAGAGCAGCCUGAGGUGUGAUCCAUGGAACAGCAUCCACAAGUGGUUCAUCAAGGUUGACGCUGUGCUGCCGGUACUGUCGCCUCAGCUUCUGCGUCAGAUUCAGAACAGAGACUUCAGCAGAGAGAGUGAGUGGGAGAAACGCUACAACCGCUUUGCCCACUCGAUGAUGCUAGACCAGCAUGUGGAGUACGGGAGCAAGAAUGGGUUCUGCCGUGCCGUUUGUCCUGCCAGAUUCCCGGAGGAGACACACUUCAGUCACAAGAUGAAUGCAGUCAGCUACAGCAUGACAUAGACAAGCUAUAGACAGUUGAGAGAGGAAGAAGUCAGUGGCACCCUCACCUCAGACAAGACAAAGCUAACAAUUGAUAAUGAAAGACCAGCAGCAGCAGCACACAAGAGGUGUUUUCUGUAUGAUGAUGAUAAUGGAAAAAAGGAUGUUAUAAGCAGGGCAACGUAAUGAAAUUCAGUGAAUGGACGUGUGUGCGUGGCUGCAAUCACUAUGAAAUUAAGUUGAAAAUAAGAAAUAUAUUACUUUACAGAAAGGAAUGCUUAGAGUGAAUGAAAUUACUGUAAUGAAUGAAUGGAAAUAAAGUUGUGAGUCAUUAAAUGAUUAGGAAAAGAAGCUGUGAAUAGGUGCAUUAUUGUUAUUACUGAAAGGAAGAAUAUUUGUAGGAUAUGUCAUGUAUAUUAUCAAAGUGUUUUCAUUCUUACUUUCUUCUUUCUCUUUCAUCUUUUCUUAGUAUAUUUAAGUGAAUUUCUCUCUCUCUCUCUCUCUCUCUCUCUCUCUCUCUCUCUCUCUCUCUCUCUCUCUCUCUCUCUCUCUCUCUCUCUCUCUCUCUCUC